rnacentral:lncRNA from 1 species
AUCAAAAUGCUUCAAAGUAUACAGCUGAGAAUUAACGUGAAUUACAGAGGCUAAGGAGCCAAAAGCGAAAUUAAAUUAGUUGAGGCCUAAAAGAAAUGCAGUCCUAGAAUGCAAUGGAGAGAAAGUAAUGCCCCACAGCAUCACUUGUGUCCUACAUCUGAUUGCUGUUGUAUCUGCUGGUAAGUGUGCCAGUAAAGGUCUCUAUGAAGUGUUCAGAAUUGCCUGUCAUGUCCUUCAGCCCUUCCAAAGAAGAUAAAUUAGAACCUAAGAUAGACUCUGAAAAGAACUCCAGGACGAUGAGAUCUGAAAGAGGCUGGGAGAGGCGGGAUUUGGACUUGAGAGGGGUUUCUUGGUGGUGUGCUGUGGACAUGGUGGUUAUUCCAAGGCUUCUAGCUUGGCAGCCUGGGAAGAUGGUGGUGUCAUUAUCAGAGAAGAAACAUUGUAGGCAGAAGAGGUUUGUUAAGGAGAAGGAAAUAGUGAGUUCUUAUGGGGACUUGUUAAGUUUGUGGUGCCUCUAGGCCAUUUAGGCUAUAUCCAGAAGUCCUCUUGAAAGUAAGAGGAAAGUAGGAUCUGGAGAUGAAAAUUAUUUGGGUAAUUGAUAGUCUAGGUAGAUAAGCAUAGCUUCUUCGCCAUCUUUUUUUUCGGUCUUUUGUCUUUUUAGGGCCGCACCGUAGCAUAUGGAGGUUCAUAGGCUAGGGGUUGAAUUGGAGGUGUAGCUGCCAGCCUACUCCACAGCCACGGCAACAUUGGUUCCAAGCUGCAUCUGCGACCUACACCACAGCUCAUGGCAACGCCAGAUCCUUCACCCACUGAACAAGGUAAGGGAUCGAACCCGAGUCCUCAUGGAUACUAGUCCAGUUUGUUAACCACUGAGCCACAGUGGGAACUCCAAGCACAGCUUCUUAUUUGAGGUCGUCGCUUAGGUGAAAUUGCAUGCAUGUAUUCUAUAUGUUUACCCUUUUAGUAAACAAACUAUAGAAUUCAGUAUAUUUUUCAAAGGGUCCAUUAUCCCAGAAACGUUAAGAAUGAGUAAGACAGAAAGACCAAAGAGGUCACUCUGGCAAACAAGUACUUGGAAGAGAUGGGCAAAGGAAAAGGAAGCUGAGGACUGGUGAGAUGCAUAAGAAUCAGAAAAAAGGAAAAAAUGGUUUGAAAGAGGAGAAGUUGAAGCUCUGUGCUGAUCAUCUAAUCAAGAUAAGUAUUUUGGGGGUUUCCUUUGUAGCUCAGUGGUAACGAACCCAGCUAGUAUCCAUGAGGAUGUGGUUUUUUAUACCUGGACUUGCUUGGUGGGUUAAGGAUCUGGCAUUGCCGUGAGCUGUGGUGUGGGUCGCAGACGAGGCUCCUUGCUGGGCUAUGGUGUAGGCCGGCAGCUAUCGCUCUGAUUCGACCCCUAGCCUGGGAACUUACAUAUGCUGAGAGUGUGGCCCUAAAAAGGCCAAAAAAAA